rnacentral:ncRNA from 1 species
GACCGACGGUGCGACGAAUACAAUACCCAGCAAUGGGGAAUAAGUCCGCCAUUCUGUUUUAUGGUUUUGAGCCGUUGGUCGCCCUAUU